GACGAACGCUGGCGGCGCGCCUAAUUCACGCAAGUAGAACCCUGAAGGAGAAGCUUGCUUCUCCGGUAGAGUUGCGAACGGGUGAGUAACGCGUAGGUAACCUGCCUGGUAGCGGGGGAUAACUAUUGGAAACGAUAACUAAUAACGCAUAAGAGUAGAUGUCGCAUGACAUUUUCUUAAAAGGUGCAACUGCACCACUACCAGAUGGCCCUGCGUUGUAUUAGCUAGUUGGUGAGGUAACGGCUCACAAAGGCAACAAUACAUACCCGACCUGAGAGUGUGAUCAGCGACACUGGGACUGAGACGCGCCCCAGCCUCAUACGGGAGGCAGAUGUAGGGAAUCUGCGGCAAUAGCCGGCAGUUUGACAGAGCACCGCCGCGUGAGUGCAGAAGGUGUCCGGAUCGUAAAGCUCUGUUGUACGCGAAGAACGAGUGUGAGCGUGGAAAGUUCACACUGUGACGGUAUCUUACCAGAAGGGUAGGGCUGACCUGGUG
rnacentral:rRNA from 1 species